CCUACGGGUGGCAGCAGUGAGGAAUAUUGGUCAAUGGACGAGAGUCUGAACCAGCCAAGUAGCGUGAAGGAUGACUGCCCUAUGGGUUGUAAACUUCUUUUAUAUGGGAAUAAACUGUUCCACGUGUGGGAGUUUGUAUGUACCAUAUGAAUAAGGAUCGGCUAACUCCGUGCCAGCAGCCGCGGUAAUACGGAGGAUCCGAGCGUUAUGCGGAUUUAUUGGGUUUAAAGGGAGCGUAGGUGGAUUGUUAAGUAAGUUGUGAAAGUUUGCGGCUCAACCGUAAAAGUGCAGUUGAAACUGGCAGUCUUGAGUACAGUAGAGGUGGGCGGAAUUCGUGGUGUAGCGGUGAAAUGCUUAGAUAUCACGAAGAACUCCGAUUGCGAAGGCAGCUCACUGGACUGCAACUGACACUGAGGCUCGAAAGUGUGGGUAUCAAACAGGAUUAGAUACCCCGGUAGUC
rnacentral:rRNA from 1 species